GUCCAAGUGUCCGAAUGGCGAGAUGAAAAGUUUGAGCCUUCACAAUAAAAGUCUAGCUGAGCCAAAGUUCGGAUCGAGCGUCUUGCCUAUGGCUCCUCUAUGUUGUAAAUGGCCAGAGAUUGAACUACCCCAUAAGCUUACAAGGGCUAAUGAUGAAGCAGGGGUCCUCCUUUCUACAAAUAGAGGCACCAGAAAAUAAGGGAGCAUGACAAAUAUUGAAGCUUUUGGAUGCUUAACAUUUAUAUUGUCAUUUCCAUUCAUUAAUUGCUAUUGAGACUAUGCUUCCUGCCUUUCUUAAUGUUCUCUGUCAACCAACAUGUUGAGAAUGCCACAGCUUUUAAAACUUUUGAGUGUGG
rnacentral:misc_RNA from 1 species